UACGUAGGGGGCAAGCGUUGUCCGGAAUCACUGGGCGUAAAGCGCGCGCAGGCGGCUGUCUACGUCCGGGGUGAAAGCCCAGAGCUCAACUCUGGGACUGCCUUGGAUACGGGAUGGCUUGAGUACCGGAGAGGGUGGCGGAAUUCCCGGUGUAGAGGUGAAAUUCGUAGAUAUCGGGAGGAACACCAGUGGCGAAGGCGGCCACCUGGACGGAUACUGACGCUGAGACGCGAAAGCGUGGGGAGCAAACAGG
rnacentral:rRNA from 1 species